CAGGAACACAGAUUCUCCCUCUGUGCUGUGCUAACUGAAGUUGAAGGAAGGAAGGUCUAGGCAAAACAAGACUGUCUUUCCUACCCUCUUCAAUGUCUCUGUCCUCGUUACUACAUUAUAACCAGGUACACCAGUCCCCAAGAUGGCCAAAUAGGAACAGCUCCAGUCUACAGCUCCCAGCGUGAGUGACGCAGAAGAUGGGUGAUUUCUGCAUUUCCAUUUGAG
rnacentral:lncRNA from 1 species